UACCAGCACCCCGAGUGGUCGGGACGUUUAUUGGGCCUAAAGCAUCCGUAGCCGGUUCUACAAGUCUUCCGUUAAAUCCAACUGCUUAACAGGUGGGCUGCGGAAGAUACUAUAGAGCUAGGAGGCGGGAGAGGCAAGCGGUACUCAGUGGGUAGGGGUAAAAUCCGUUGAUCCAUUGAAGACCACCAGUGGCGAAGGCGGCUUGCCAGAAUGCGCUCGACGGUGAGGGAUGAAAGCUGGGGGAGCAAACCGG
rnacentral:rRNA from 1 species